UACGAAGGGGGCUAGCGUUGUUCGGAUUUACUGGGCGUAAAGGGCACGCAGGCGGCCUGACAAGUUGGGGGUGAAAUCCCGGGGCUUAACCCCGGAACUGCCUUCAAAACUGUCAGGCUAGAGAUCGAGAGAGGUGAGUGGAAUUCCUAGUGUAGAGGUGAAAUUCGUAGAUAUUAGGAGGAACACCAGUGGCGAAGGCGGCUCACUGGCUCGAUACUGACGCUCAUGUGCGAAAGCGUGGGGAGCAAACAGG
rnacentral:rRNA from 1 species